ACGCUGGCGGCACGCCUUAUACAUGCAAGUCGAACGAAGUAGCAAUACUUAGUGGCAGACGGGUGAGUAACAUGUAGGUAUCUUCCCUUUGGUGAGGAAUAACACGAGGAAACUUGUGCUAAUACCUCAUAAGUCUUCACGGAGAAAGCUUUAUGCGCCAAAGGAUGAGCCUGCACUUGAUUAGUUUGUUGGUGGGGUAAUGGCCUACCAAGACUUUGAUCUAUAGCUGAUCUGAGAGGAUGAUCAGCCACAUUGGGACUGAGACACGGCCCAAACUCCUACGGGAGGCAGCAGUAGGGAAUAUUGCACAAUGGAGGAAACUCUGAUGCAGCGAUGCCGCGUGAGUGAAGAAGGCCUUUGGGUUGUAAAGCUCUUUCGUCGGGGAAGAAAAUGACUGUACCCGAAUAAGAAGGUCCGGC
rnacentral:rRNA from 1 species